ACUGACCAGCCCAAGGAACAUCUCAUCAAUUUUAAAUCAGGACUGAAAAUAACAGAACUCAGCACCAUGAUCGGACCGGGACAAUCAGAUUAUUUCAUUCCUCAGCAAACGGAGAUCGAUCCGAAAAGUGGAAAUAUGAGCUCUUCUUUGGUGUUGGCAUAUGGACCCUGAGAGAAAGAACUUUAAUUUUUUCUCUUGGACUGCAAUAAAGUAUAGCUGCCUAAAAUACUUUUCCUGACACUUGGAGGUUUGUCCACAAUCGGUGAAAUAAAGGCAAGACGUAACACUGGAUGAAAAAAGAAAAUGAACAAAAAAGAAGCAAGUAUACUGAAAAUGGUGCACAUUGUAUCAUGGUGGCAUUGAAUCCAAGUAGAAUUAGCAGAGGUCCUUCCACCCUGUGAUCACCCCCACUGUCUUUCCCAAGCCCAGGAAUCCCUCUUCCCUUUUUUUCCAUUCCACUAAAUUAUUUUGAGUUACUGUUUUAUAAAAUUGCAUAUAAAAAGUGUUGAUUAAUACAGAAUAGUUAAUAAGGUGAUAUUAUGUUUAAGUAAUUAAUAAGAACAAUAAUAGCUAGUAUUUCGCAAUUGCUGUACAUUAGGGGCUUUUCCAGAGGUUUUAUAAAUGUUAAUUUAAUCUUCACAAUAAACUUAUCAAAAGUUCAAGGCAUAGAGAAGUUAAAUAAAUUGCCUGAGUUUUCAAGGGCAGAGCUGUGAUCUGCCCCCAGGUAUUCUGACCCCCAAACUGGCUCUCAACCAUGUUUACACGAUGAAAAGAAGAGGUGACUGUUGUAUCAGCUCUAAAGGCCUCACUUUUGGUGAAAUGGGACCUAAAUUUGAUUGCAUACUUGAUUACUUGCUGUCAAUACUGAAAUUGGCACUUCAUAAUUUUAAUACUAUUGAACUUUCACCAUAACCCUGUCCUAUAAAGUUGACUUGCAAAUGAAGAAACUCUAUCUCUUCAAUAUUAUAAAAUAUAUCCAAGAGUCACAACUAGUGAGAAAAGGACAGGAUCUAACUAACAAUGUGAGGCUGUGUCUUCACACCAAUUCAACAGAGUAUCUUGUAAAUGUUGAGAGGAGAGGUACUUUAGGUCAUGGGUGUCUUUCAAUAAGUGCUUUAGAAAACAGGUGACAACUGAUUGGGCCUUGAGGUAUGAAUGGAUUUAGCCAGGCAAUUAAAUAGGAAAGCAGAUACUCAAGACAGAUUAAAACAGCUUGAGAGAAGUGAAAUGAGCAAGUGUAAGACAAUUGAUACUGUCCAUGGAUUUUAGAAAGUGUGAAGUGGAGUGAUUGUGAUGAAGCUUGAAAGAUUGCCUGGGGCCAGGCUGUUGAAGGCUUGGUUUGCUUAGAUAAGUCAAAUGCAGUAGACAAUGGAUAGUCAUCACAGAUUUUUGUACAUGGGACUUCACAUACAUUAAUUGAAUAUCCAUCAUGUACAAAAUAUUGCUCAAGCAAUGUAGGGAUCAAGGGAAUAAAAGCUUAUUCUGAUAUUAUAGAGCAUAUAACAGCCAUGUAAAUAUGCAUGGUAUAGAGAAAUCAGUUCUAUGAUGGAUGUACCAGCAAAGUUGCAGAGCAUUAUAUAGAGUUGCUUUUGAUAUGAGCCCUAGAAUAAAUUGGGAUAGAGAGGGAGUUGGGGGGAAUUUGAGAUAGUUUUUCAAAGAAAAUAAAAUAUGGGGACAAAAACAAUAGAUAACAAUCAGUGAUAAGCUAUAUUUUGAGUUUUAAAAUUGUUUUUACAAUUACCCCUGUUUUGAGUAUAUAUCUUGUCAAAUCAUUCUAAUAAAUAUUUGCUGAUAACUGUGUGGAAUACAUAAAUAAAUGGUAGGUAGAAAUUUGGAAGAAUCACUACAUAUUUUCAGUUAUCAUUCUCUGUGUAAAUUCAUGCUUUAAAAAUAUGAGAAGAUAAAGUGCCUUGGAUAUUAUUUUAUUUUCUAUAUUUUGUCCCAUAUUGUAUUGUCUAAUUUUCAUUGAAACCACAUAACAUGCUUGAAUAGGCAUGUGGUAACUUCUCA
rnacentral:lncRNA from 1 species